GAGGCCCACGUUUACCGUCAAAAACGCAGACCGGAGAGGGAUAACGACUAAUACCUGCUUCUCACCCGCUCUUUAUGCACAAGUGAUUAAGAAAAUUCAGCGGAUACUUUACAAGCACAGGAUGGUGUGAACAUAACAGUGGAGCGUGCACGGUGUUGGUUCCUUACCAUUAUAGCCAUUAAGCACACCCAGUGGAAAAAGACACAAUGGCACGCUGCCAAAUCCUCGCUGGGGCACAGCUGGCACUCGAUAUGGGUAAUAAAUCAUGGUGUGGUUGAGAGAGGAAGAGAGAAAGCGACAGGACUGUGAUCUUUUGUCUGCUAAAAUCCUCGUCUCAGCUCCGGUUCUGAUCCGGCGAUGCUUUUACGGACAGAUUUCAUCAAGCUGUCAUCCGCAGAGACUUCUUUGCUUAACUUUCUUUUUUUUAUCACACCUCCAGCUUUGCUUAAUUAUUGCAUUUGAUAUUUCACAUGUUGUACUUGAAAGGUGGAAGCAUUGUAAUUUGGAAGGUAUAACAAAUAGCAGAGGUUGGUAAAUCAGGGAGCCCGGCUGACAGUUCUUGCCUGUCAGCUUUUUUAAUUAUCACAUUAUCAGCUUUUAUAGGCACAGUGCGCGGUGCAGAGCUGCAAAUGAAGGCGCCACACGUUGCACGCUGAGUCGAAAGCAUUUCUCAAUUGAUGUCAGCAGUUAGAAAGGAUCCGUGUCUGGAUGAUGAGUGCGAGGUGAUGUGGUUAAGAGGAUGGUAAUGGUGUGGUUAUACAACAGGAUCCUGUCCAACGUUUAAUUUAGAGUCACAUCUCGUGGGUUAGUUCUCUUUCAGAACUAAUAUACGAAGCAACUCUAAGUAACACCGACUCCGUAAUGAGCCCUGCGACAACUCUCGCUAUUUAUAUUACACCGCCUUCAACUGAGCUCCGUGUACAAUUAACUAAAUGCCAAACACAGAAGCUAAAUGAGGAAGUGCUUACGUUGUGCCACAUACAAGUGGAAGCCAUUUAUUUUGAGUACUUGUGGAUACCCAAAUGAACACUUCAGUUGUUGUCAAUAAUAAUUUUGUUGUCGUGGUAUAAAGCYGUUUCCAAAAUGAUUUAUUGUUUUUUUUUCCCCAACAUCCAUCACAUGUUGUUUCCAAAUCUCUGACAGUUUGUUUAAGGAAUGCAUCAAGUGUGUGUGUGUGUGUGUGUGGUAUUUGUUCUCUUUAUCUUCAUGCAACCAUUGAUGAGUAAAAAAAACAAGAAAAAACAACAAAACUACAACAAUGACAAUAAAAAGCAAACGUUACUAUCUGCUUAKAUAGGAUGUGGAAACCUGGAGAUUCUGGAGAGGAAGCAUGUUUCUGUCCAUUAAUUACCUUGCUUAUUGCUUUACUGUAACAUUUUCUGUACUGAUAGCAGGAUAACAAUAACAAUUUAUAUGUCUGUCACAAGAUUGUUAUUUUUAAUAAAGGGGGAAAAAAAAGGCAAUUUCAAGAAAACGUUUAGGAGAAAAAGCCUGAACAUACUAGAAACAAAAGUAAUCAUUGCAUUGGUUCAUUACAUUUGAACUUGGGAGUCAAAAUAUUUKAGCUUUUAGUGAAAGUUGUUGAAAUUCUGACUUUUAACAUCUCACUUGCAACAAGGUCACAAUCCAACUUUGCAGGUUUKAAUAUUUAAUGUGUUUUGACUGCAGCAGGAAGCAUACUUUUGCCUUCUUCCAGUUUGCAUCUCAUGAAUUUAGUUUCACACAUGGUAUUAGUUGAAUCCAUAAAACACUGCACAGGCCACUUUAUUAUGGGCACCUGCUUGAUUGCUUGUUAACACAAAUAGCAAGUCAGCCAAUCACAUGACAGCAACUUUAGAUGUAGAUCUAGAUUUAGAUCUCUAGACAUCAUGAAAACGACUUGCUGCAGUUGGAACUGGUGAAGAAAGAGGAAGCGACUUUGAAUGUGGCAGGACUGAUGGGACUGGACAGAGCCUGC